rnacentral:rRNA from 1 species
AUUGAACGCUGGCGGCAGGCCUAACACAUGCAAGUCGAACGAGUGGCGGACGGGUGAGUAAUGUCUGGGCAACUGCCUGAUGGAGGGGGAUAACUACUGGAAACGGUAGCUAAUACCGCAUACCAUCGGAUGUGCCCAGAUGGGAUUAGCAAUUAGGUGGGGUAACGGCUCACCUAGGCGACGAUCCCUAGCUGGGCUGAGAGGAUGACCGGCCACACUGGAACUGAGAAACGGUCCAGACUCCUACGGGAGGCAGCAUGGGGGAAUAUUGCAAAAUGGGCGCAAGCCUGAUGCAGCCAGGCCGCGUGUAUGAAGAAGGCUGUCGGGUUGUAAAGUACUUUCAGCGGGGAGGCGUUACCCGCAGAGGAAGCACCGGCUAACUCCGUGCCAGCAGCCGCGGUAAUUC